rnacentral:misc_RNA from 1 species
AAAAAAGUUAAAAAAAAAAAAGAGAAAAUUUUGUUUUUAAUGUCGUCUUGUUGUGCCAAGGACCAGCACAAGCCAAAUCCAAUGCUAUUUCUAUAUGUAGUGCCUGAUUCAUCUUCACUUUCAUUCACUCACUGGCUCAUUAUAACUCCAAAAGUAGCAAUACAGAGGAAGAGGAAAGAAUGAUAAAGAAGGAGAAAUUCUUGAAGGAACAUCCAUAUUUGCUGGAAAAGGAGGUCUCUCGCUCUGAUUUUCCUCCUAAUUUUCUCUUUGGUGUUGCCACUUCUGCCUAUCAGAUUGAAGGUGGCUGCAGGGAAGGUGGUAGAGGUCCUAGUAUAUGGGAUGCUUUUUCACACACCAAAGGAACUAUUCUUGAUGGAAGCAAUGGUGAUGUGGCAGUGGAUCAUUAUCAUCGAUACAAGGAAGACAUUGAACUCAUCGCUAAGUUGGGGUUUGAUGCUUAUCGAUUUUCCAUAUCAUGGUCUCGCAUUUUCCCUGGUACGUGUUCCUCUCAAGAAUGCAAUAUAUAUUGUUUCUUGGCUUGGUCAGCAGUUGAAGCAAGUAAUUGUCAUCUUAAUUUUCUUCCUAUCCAUUUAACAAAUUGAACACGGUUAAACAUGAGAAGUCAACCUUCAUUUAGAUGGUAACUUAAGCAAGAUAUGUGAAGUUACUUGCCCUAUCUAACUUCGGCUCAGAGGUGGAUGUGCUAUAGGGACUAAGGGUACUCAAACAUCCUUUGGGAAUUUUGCUUUUGUCAAUCUUGCUCCCACUAAUUUUCUUAAGUUUGGCCCUGCUCUUUCUUUUUGCCCUCAAUAUUUUUGAAUUACUGAUUCUAGAGGGUUAAUGAAAAUAGCAGAGUAUCAAUUGAUCUUUCAGAUGGAUUUAUUUUUGAGGUUUGCUGGCGACUUAGGAACGAAUGAUGAGUGUAACACUGAAAGAUAGUGAAUGAAAUGAUAAGUCAAUGGUGAAACAUUAUUUUAUUUUUAGUUUUCAUGGUAUUCCAAGUUCAAUUUCUUUUUAUUCUAUUAGACUUUUUUGCAGCAUAACAUUUACUCGUCAGUGCUACCAGUUUCAUCUUCCUUGUGUAUCUUUCUGUCCUUUCCCUUUAUCUUUCUUUUUCACUUGGUGGUGAGACCAUCAAACUUGUCUGAUCUCCCAAUUUGAGUUGUGUCUGUACCUUCUGUAUGGCUUUUCCUUUGUUGAUAUGUUUGUUUCUUAUUCUGGCAGAUGGUUUGGGAACCAAAGUCAAUGAAGAAGGGAUAGCAUUCUAUAACAAUAUCAUUAAUGCUCUUCUUGAAAAGGGUAUAGAGCCAUAUAUAACUCUGUACCAUUGGGAUCUCCCCUUGCAUCUUCAAGAGUCAAUGGGAGGGUGGUUGAAUAAGGAAAUUGUGUAAGUAUUAAUCUGAGUGAAGAUGUUUUGAUAUUAAGCAACAACAUAUUUUCAACUCUGGUAACAUAAGAUUUGCACUAUCACUCACAUAUAUAUAUUCCAAGAAAAAUUAUUUUGAUGAAUUAUUUUAUUCGUAUGCUUCUAUAAAAUUUUUAACAAAUUAAUUUGGAUUAUGAAUUAAUGAUUUCUAUGGCUUCUUUGCUUGGAAAACAUCCAGAAAAUACUUUGCAAGCCAUGGAGACACUUGCUUUGCAAGUUUUGGUGAUAGAGUUAAGAAAUGGAUUACUCUAAAUGAGCCUCUCCAAACAGCAGUAAAUGGAUUUGAUACUGGAAUACUUGCUCCUGGAAAACAUGAACAUUCAGAUACAGAACCAUUUUUGGCUUCACACCACCAGAUCUUGGCCCAUGCAACAGCUGUUUCCAUAUACCGCAGCAUGUACAAAGUAUGCCAUUUAAGAGUUUCGUUUUAGGAUAAUGGUUGUCGAAUCACAAUAAAUUUUACAGUCAUAUGGCUCAUGCUUUUUUUUUCUUUAAUGUACCACCUAGGACUAGGACCGUCAGUAUCCAAUAUGUCAUUAGUGGGUUUCAUUGCACUUCUUGCAGUUAUUUGUCAAAGUGAUGGGAUUACUUUUAGUUCUUACUAACAUGAUCUUUACAUUUUCCCCCACUAAAGAGUUGAUUUUUUUUUCUAUUAAUAGAAAAAUGUUAUCAUCUAAUGAGGUAAUGUUAAUGGGUAAUUCUUACGUGAAAGAUUUCCUGCGCUAGCUCCAGUUUGGUCCUGUCUAAAUUUCACAGACCAAGCCACCAUGGUUUGUAUUUGUCACAGGCCAUAAUGGUGCCUCAACAGUUCAGAUUAUGAACUUGUUAAUGGGAAAAGUCAGCUGAGUAUUAUCUUAAUCACUUUUGUUGUUAUUUGGGUCAUUUAAAGGACAACAUCCUGUUCCUGCUGCUGUUGCUUUUUCAG